UACGUAGGGGGCAAGCGUUAUCCGGAUUUACUGGGCGUAAAGGGGGCGCAGGCGGCGCGCCAAGUCUGAUGUGAAACCCCGGGGCUCAACCCCGGGCAUGCAUUGGAAACUGGCGGGCUGGAGUGCCGGAGAGGUAAGCGGAAUUCCUAGUGUAGCGGUGAAAUGCGUAGAUAUUAGGAGGAACACCAGUGGCGAAGGCGGCUUACUGGACGGCAACUGACGCUGAGGCUCGAAAGCGUGGGGAGCAAACAGG
rnacentral:rRNA from 1 species